AUGAGGGGACGCGGCUGCGAGUACGCCACCGGCCGUGCGGAUCGGGUGGGAAAGAGAAGUUGGCGGCGGCGGCGGUUUCAAUAUGUGAUCUGCCACCAGCGCCGCCGGAGGGACGGAAGAAAGCAUCUGAGGGGCGGCGCAGGCCCGGGCUCGGGCAGCCACCAUGGCGUCAGAUGCGCCGGCGGGGGCCUCUUCCUCGUAGCAAGGCGUGGCCCUGCUCCUCCCCAUGGCGUUGAUGACAAGGCGGGCGGCGACGCGAGCUCUCGUCCCGAGGAAGCCGCGGGAGGACGAGUACAAGCCAGACCAGGUCGACGUGCCCCCCUGCCACACCUCCUUCUCCUGCGGGUUGGUUGCUGCUGUUGCUGGUGCCGUUCGUGUCCGAUUCGACUGGCCUGCCAUUUGCAGGAGGCUGCAAGAUUUGUUGGUGAGCUUUUCCUUUUCUUCCUCUCUGGUCUAAUAGGUGUUUAG
rnacentral:rRNA from 1 species